rnacentral:lncRNA from 1 species
UGGUCUACUCUCUUUUUGUGUUUUUGGUGAGAGAGAGUUUUGUUACAAUGUAUAGAGACCACCAUUGUAUUAUUCUUAGUCCUUGUAUUUGGGAUUUCUUUUUGUACUACCUUUCGGUUUACUUAUAGAUGGUUGAUAGCUCCCUUACUUGUUUCCUUUCAUAGAAUCUAGAUGUUGUUUUAUGCUCUGAUAUCUCUAGAUCUUCUUUUAUGUGUUGCUUUAU